rnacentral:rRNA from 1 species
AAACUUUCAACAACGGAUCUCUUGGUUCUGGCAUCGAUGAAGAACGCAGCGAAAUGCGAUAAGUAAUGUGAAUUGCAGAAUUCAGUGAAUCAUCGAAUCUUUGAACGCACAUUGCGCCCGCCAGUAUUCUGGCGGGCAUGCCUGUCCGA